AAGGGAUCUGAGCUAAUACAGAACCUCAUAAUCAUUUUCUUUUAGCUCUUCUCUAAGCUAUUAUUUAUUUUCUUUUCUUUUUUUUUAAGAUUCAACUAUAAAGAAGAAUAGGUCAUUUCAUAGUUUGCAAAAUGAAGUACAGUUCCAACUUUGGCAGACAACUGUCUAUCAAGAGAUUUUUGCUGUAUUAUUGCACAGAGUACAAGAACAAUAUCAAGAAACACGCAGUUCUCUAAGGGCCCGGAAAACUAUCAUCUCUGGCAGCUUAAAUUCUCAUUUCCUUGUAUUCAUCACAUGUGUAAGUACACUACAGAAGCAUUAACUUUUUCAGUUAAAAUUCCGGCAGAGAGCUACAAUCGAUGAUUAAAUACUCUAAAUGACUUUCAUAUUUGUGA
rnacentral:lncRNA from 1 species